UCCCUGGCAGUCCAGUGGUUAGGACUCUGUACUUCCACUGGAGGGGACACAGGUUUGAUCCCUGUUCAGGGAA